GUUUAAAAAGCUUAUAGAGUGCUGCGUUGAAGGUGCAGAGGAGUAUUAUUACUUUAAACA
rnacentral:tRNA from 1 species